rnacentral:rRNA from 1 species
GAUUAACGCUGGCGGCGUGCAUAACACAUGCAAGUCGAACGAUGAAACUUUAAUGACCCCUUCGGGGAGAAUUAAAGCGGAUUAGUGGCGAACGGGUGAGUAACGCGUGAGUAACCUGCCUUACACAAGGGGAUAGCCUUUGGAAACGAAGAAUAAUACCCUAUAAAACCAUAAAAGCACAUGCAAUUAUGGUCAAAGUGAUAGCGGUGUAAGAUGGACUUGCGUCUGAUUAGCUAGUUGGUGAGAUAAAAGCCCACCAAGGCAACGAUCAGUAGCCGGCUUGAGAGAGUGUACGGCCACAUUGGGACUGGGACACGGCCCAGACUCCUACGGGAGGCAGCAGUGGGGAAUUUUGCACAAUGGGGGAAACCCUGAUGCAGCGACGCCGCGUGAUUUAGAAGGCCUUCGGGUUGUAAAAAUCUUUUGUAUAGGAAGAAAAUGACAGUACUAUACGAAUAAGGUCCGGCUAAUUACGUG